rnacentral:rRNA from 1 species
GUAUAUGGCGGCUUCAUCAACUAUUCAGAGGAGUAUGUUCUUAAUCGAAGAUGCACGAAUAUCUUACCUUAUCCCUCGCAAUCAAACAUUUUGUACAUCGCCGUCGGAAGGCUAGAUUGAGAGAUCUUAGCCCUUGGCCCAUCUGGGACUAAAAAUCUUCUGUUACAGGUCCCUGCUUUGGGACAUAAGUCAGGUCAAGGUGCAGACUAUGGGAAGUGAUCGGAUGUACUUUAGUUUAGAGGAGAUAACUCACACAAUGGAAUUGAAACAACUGGUGGGAUCAAAUUUGAAAGUAAGCCCCUUUUAUCAUAAAGGGCUGAAUUGGUAAUGAGAAGUGUACAAAUCGCCCGUCACUCUCUAUAAAAGGACAAGUCGUAACAAAGUUGGUUUACUGGAAAGUGAAUCAGGAUUU